rnacentral:rRNA from 1 species
GUAGGGAAUAUUGGGCAAUGGAUGCAAGUCUGACCCAGCCAUCCCGCGUGCCGGAAGAAGGCCCUCAGGGUUGUAACGGCUUUUGACGGUGAAGAACCGACAGGAUGCGUCCUGUUUUGACGGUAGCCGUUGAAUAAGCACCGGCUAACUCCGUGCCAGCAGCCGCGGUAAUACGGGGGGUGCGAGCGUUGUCCGGAUUUAUUGGGUUUAAAGGGUGCGUAGGCUGGAAGGUCAGUCAGCGGUGAAAAGCUAUCGCUUAACGAUAGUCUUGCCGCAGAUACUUCCUUUCUUGGAUGAGGAGGAGGCCACUGGAACGGAUGGUGUAGCGGUGAAAUGCAUAGAUAUCAUCCAGAACACCGAUUGCGAAGGCAGGUGGCUGUACCUUAAUCGACGCUGAUGCACGAAAGCAUGGGGAGCAAACAGGAUUAGAAACCCGUGUAGUCC